AUGGCAAAAUACUGGUGGAGCAAUAACCUUGAUCGCCGGUCUUUACAUUGGUUAUCUUGGGAUUCUUUGGCUGCACCAAAAGUUAAAGGAAGGAUGGGAUUCAAAGACUUACAACUCUUUAAUUUAGCACUACUCGGCAAGCAUGGGUGGUGCUUGAUGACGAAUCCCAACUCUCUGUGUUCGCGGGUCUUGAAAGGAAGAUAUUUCCACUCCUGUGAUUUCAUGCAAGCCACUGCACCAAAGUUUUCUUCAGCUGUGUGGAGGGCUAUAAUCGCAGGCAGGGAAGCGUUGAAAUCGGGCUUGCUUAAGCGCAUUGGAAGCGGCACGACCGUUUCUAUCUGGGAGGACAAAUGGAUCCCU
rnacentral:rRNA from 1 species